GGGCUAUUACAACUAUUUUAGAAAUUUUCUUGCAGAUUUUCUGACUUUGGUCAGAAAACUCCA
ensembl:snRNA Gm55858 U7 small nuclear RNA